AGUCGAGCGGUAACAGAGAUAGCUUGCUAUCUGCUGACGAGCGGCGGAGGGGUGAGUAAUGCUUGGGAAUAUGCCUUUGAGUGGGGGACAACAGUUGGAAACGACUGCUAAUACCGCAUAACGUCUACGGACCAAAGGGGGGGACGCUUCGGCACCUCUCGCUCAUUGAUUAGCCCAAGUGAGAUUAGCUAGUUGGUAAGGUAAUGGCUUACCAAGGCGACGAUCUCUAGCUGGUUUGAGAGGAUGAUCAGCCACACUGGGACUGAGACACGGCCCAGACUCCUACGGGAGGCAGCAGUGGGGAAUAUUGCACAAUGGGCGAAAGCCUGAUGCAGCCAUGCCGCGUGUGUGAAGAAGGCCUUCGGGUUGUAAAGCACUUUCAGCGAGGAGGAAAGGUUAGUAGUUAAUAACUGCUAGCUGUGACGUUACUCGCAGAAGAAGCACCGGCUAACUUCGUGCCAGCAGCCGCGGUAAUACGAGGGGUGCAAGCGUUAAUCGGAAUUACUGGGCGUAAAGCGUGCGUAGGUGGUUUGUUAAGCAAGAUGUGAAAGCCCCGGGCUCAACCUGGGAACUGCAUUUUGAACUGGCAAGCUAGAGUUUUGUAGAGGGUAGUGGAAUUUCCAGUGUAGCGGUGAAAUGCGUAGAGAUUGGAAGGAACAUCAGUGGCGAAGGCGGCUACCUGGACAAAGACUGACACUGAGGCACGAAAGCGUGCGGAGCAAACAGGAUUAGAUACCCUGGUAGUCCACGCCGUAAACGAUGUCAACUAGCCGUCUGUGGUCUUGAACCGUGCGUGGCGUAGCUGACGCGCUAANUUGACCGCCUGGGGAGUACGGCCGCAAGGUUAAAACUCAAAUGAAUUGACGGGGGCCCNCACAAGCGGUGGAGCAUGUGGUUUAAUUCGAUGCA
rnacentral:rRNA from 1 species